UACAGAGGGGGCGAGCGUUGUUCGGAAUUGCUGGGCGUAAAGGGCGCGUAGGCGGCCCGCUAAGUCAGACGUGAAAUCCCUCGGCUUAACCGGGGAACUGCAUCUGAUACUGGAUGGCUUGAGUUCGGGAGAGGGAUGCGGAAUUCCAGGUGUAGCGGUGAAACGCGUAGAUAUCUGGAGGAACACCGGUGGCGAAGGCGGCAUCCUGGACCGACACUGACGCUGAGGAGCGAAAGCCAGGGGAGCAAACGGG
rnacentral:rRNA from 1 species